rnacentral:rRNA from 1 species
GAUCCUGGCUCAGGAUGAACGCUGGCGGUGUGCUUAACACGAUGCAAGUCGAACGGAGUUUUAAACGGAAGUCCUCGGAUGGAAGUUUAGAAACUUAGUGGCGGACGGGUGAGUAACGCGUGGGUAACCUGCCUCAUACAGGGGGAUAACAGUCGGAAACGAUUGCUAAAACCGCAUAACAUAGCGAAACCGCAUGAUUUUUGCUAUCAAAUAUUUAUAGGUAUGAGAUGGGCCCGCGUCUGAUUAGCUAGUUGGUGGGGUAAUGGCCUACCAAGGCGACGAUCAGUAGCCGGCUUGAGAGAGUGACCGGCCACAUUGGGACUGAGACACGGCCCAAACUCCUACGGGAGGCAGCAGUGGGGAAUAUUGGACAAUGGGGGAAACCCUGAUCCAGCCGACGCCGCGUGAGUGAAGAAGUAUUUCGGUAUGUAAAGCUCUAUCAGCAGGGAAGAUAAUGACAGUACCUGACUAAGAAGCCCCGGCUAACUACGUGCCAGCCGCCGC